GUGGGGAAUAUUGGACAAUGGGCGCAAGCCUGAUCCAGCCAUGCCGCGUGAGUGAUGAAGGCCCUAGGGUUGUAAAGCUCUUUCACCGGAGAAGAUAAUGACGGUAUCCGGAGAAGAAGCCCCGGCUAACUUCGUGCCAGCAGCCGCGGUAAUACGAAGGGGGCUAGCGUUGUUCGGAAUUACUGGGCGUAAAGCGCACGUAGGCGGACAUUUAAGUCAGGGGUGAAAUCCCGGGGCUCAACCCCGGAACUGCCGUUGAUACUGGGUGUCUGGAGUAUGGAAGAGGUAAGUGGAAUUCCGAGUGUAGAGGUGAAAUUCGUAGAUAUUCGGAGGAACACCAGUGGCGAAGGCGGCUUACUGGUCCAUUACGGACGCUGAGGUGCGAAAGCGUGGGGAGCAAACAGGAUUAGAAACCCGAGUAGUCC
rnacentral:rRNA from 1 species